AUAUGCGAUAAGUCAUUCAAGUUUCUGCCCUAUCAGCUUUUGGAUGGUAGUGUAUUGGACUACCAUGGCAGUCACGGGUAACGGAGAAUUAGGGUUCGAUUCCGGAGAGGGAGCCUGAGAAACGGCUACCACAUCUACGGAAGGCAGCAGGCGCGCAAAUUGCCCAAUCCUGACACGGGGAGGCAGUGACAAGAAAUAACAACUCUAGGAUUUCUUAGAAGUGUAAUGAGGAUAAUUUACAAACCUUACCGAAUGCAAUUGGAGGGCAAGUCUGGUGCCAGCAGCCGCGGUAAUUCCAGCUCCAAUAGCGUAUAUUAAAAGUUGUUGCAGUUAAAAAGCUCGUAGUUGAAGUUCUGAUUGCUCAGGUUUCCAGCCUUAGGCGGAGAUACUGACAGUCAUCCGCUUGCAAACAUAUGUUCGAUCUUCACCGGUUGGCUAUGUGAGUAAGCACUUUACCUUGAGAAAAACAGAGUGUUCCAGGCAGGUUUGUCCGGGAUGCAUUAGCA
rnacentral:rRNA from 1 species